CGGGUUGCCAGCGAGAGCCUUCGUGACAAGAGAUUCCAAGUUUGAUGGCUGCCGCUCAAGUUUUGCUGCAAAAUCCUCAACAUCUGCGAGAUGAGAACAAAUGAAAGACGACGACUCCCACUGACAGGCAGAUGCGCUCAAGCGGCAUGUCGAGGUCCCUGACCCGAUCAUCCGCCUCGCCGGUUCCGGAAGAAUCCUUUCCCGCCCCCCGCGGCGAGCAAAGCCGGCGCAGCGGCGCACCAUCCGCAGCCCGCGACUAACAGCCGAGCGCCACAAGCAGUUAGCGGUGAUGCCGGCCCGGAGAAGCUGCCAGGUAUGUUCUGAUCAGCUAGCUCGGGACCCUCCUCGGACGGGGGCCCCCAAGGCCCGUGGGUGCCAUCCUGCGUGCGUCGCAGCCGCCGAAUGCGCUUUGUCCCCGCGCGCGCACACGCGAGCUCUCGGGCGACCGUUGUGGAAUGCGCCCCGCCGCGGUGAGACGGCGGCGUGCCCACGAGAGGGGCCCAGGGAGGCCUCUCGUCUCCCCGGCGCUAAUGCAUCGCAGCCCCUUGCAUCCAGCGCACGCAGGCAUACAACGAGGCACGCGCCAUUGCCUAUUUAGUCAAUCAGUGAUUGCAGCGGUGGAUCCGUGGGACACGUCUCGGCUUUGUCCUUCUCGUGAUUCUUCUGCAUCGCAGUCAACCCCCAACAUUUUGCAGUACGCUACUUAGGAAUUAAUUCCCAUUUUCUACCUUGAUUCUUUCGCUGGAAAAAAAAAAUCACUGAAUGGACAAAUAGGAAGUCUUGUUCAUCAAAGAGGCAAAGAUGUUUUGAUGUCUGCGAGGAGCUGAGUUGAGGUUGUUGGCGAAAUUAACAGAAAAUCUUCAUGACGUGUACGCUUCAGGUAAAUAUAUAUAUAUUUUUUUUUCGGUUUUUGCCUCCAGAUGCAACAGAAUGAUGUCAAAUGACUACUUUUCUAUCAGACGGAGCCGAUUUCAAAACACGCUCCUCCCCUCACUUGAACAUACUUCCAAGGCACGCGAGGGCACAAAACUAUGACUUUUCUGUUACGCAAGACAUU